AGCUUUGCGCAGUGGCAGUAUCGUAGCCCAUGAGGUUUAUCCGAGGCGCGAUUAUUGCUAGUUGAAAACUUUACCCAAUACCCCGUCAUGACGACUUGAAAUACAGUCGGCAUUGGCAAUUUUUGGCGGUCUCUAAGGAGG
ensembl:snRNA U4 U4 spliceosomal RNA